CGCCCAUCAUUCCUGGUACUCCACGGCCCCGAUUCUCACUCUAUCUGUCUGCCCAGCUGCAAUACGGGAUAGUCCGGGUGUACAGCCGCCAGUGCCAAUACCUUGCUGAUGAGAUCCAGCAGACUUUGGAACGGCUCAACCGGAUGCAGCUGGCCAUCAACCUGAUAGAUCAGGAGCAGCCGAUGCUGCUUCUCCCUGACCAGCUGACCCUGAUGGAAGCCCUAGAAGAAGCCCCCGACCCCUUUUUUGGAGUGAUGGUCCCUUCAUUGCCCAGCCCUGC